GAUCAGUACCUUUUGUCACUAUCACUGUGUGCCCACCACUAAUUUCCAUGGUGUACCCAAGUGUGUUUCAAGUCUCUACAAAUGUCUUUGUGCCCAUGGGACAAAAAUAAAAAUAAACCAAAGCAAAUGAUAAAUCAAGCAGACAAGCCUGGCUUUCUUCCAUGUCUGCUCUACAAGGAUGACAGGAUCUCCCCGCUAAUUCUAAUUUUAUCAGAGUCCAAUGAUAGCCAGAUGUUUGCUGACCAAUAUCUCAUAUCCAUGAUUGGGACCCUGGGCUUGUAAGUGGUUCUAACAGCCAUUUGACUUUCUACCUUGAGUUGCCCACCCAAUGGCCAUGAAGGCUUUUGGGCUUCUCAUUUCUCUUCUGUUGUGGAUGCUCUUGGUUUCCGCAGGUCUUUCCUUCACUUGGAAUACACCAGGUCUUUAUCUCAUGGGAUGUUUUACUCUGCGGUCAGGUCCCUGCAAAAUCGGGCCAUGUAUUGAAAAGAACUACGGGCAAUGUGGCCCCUCGAAGAAAUGUUGUAAACGUGCCAUAAACAACACUAUGACGUGUUAUAUAUCUGGAGGCCACUGCUCGGUGGGGCGUUGCUUUCCUCCUUCAGUUGCUGAUGGGAAAUGUGGCAGAGGUAGUCCAUGCUGUUUCAGUCGCUAGAAUAUCUGGAUCUUCUGUUCUCAUUAACAUUCAUCACAUCAUCACAAUCAAAUGGAUCAGUUCUUUCCACAUCGCAUUUCAGAUGUCCAUGAAUAAAGCAGAGCUUCAAAUGGAUUCUUGAAAUAAA
rnacentral:lncRNA from 1 species